rnacentral:rRNA from 1 species
CCUACGGGCGGCAGCAGUGGGGAAUAUUGGACAAUGGGGGGAACCCUGAUCCAGCCAUGCCGCGUGUGUGAAGAAGGCCCUCGGGUUGUAAAGCACUUUCAGUGAGGAAGAACGCCUGGUGGUUAAUACCCAUCAGGAAAGACAUCACUCACAGAAGAAGCACCGGCUAACUCCGUGCCAGCAGCCGCGGUAAUACGGAGGGUGCGAGCGUUAAUCGGAAUUACUGGGCGUAAAGCGCGCGUAGGUGGCUUGAUAAGCCGGUUGUGAAAGCCCCGGGCUCAACCUGGGAACGGCAUCCGGAACUGUCAAGCUAGAGUGCAGGAGAGGAAGGUAGAAUUCCCGGUGUAGCGGUGGAAUGCGUAGAGAUCGGGAGGAAUACCAGUGGCGAAGGCGGCCUUCUGGACUGACACUGACACUGAGGUGCGAAAGCGUGGGUAGCAAACAGGAUUAGAUACCCUUGUAGUC